AUUUUGACCUCAAAUCAGUGUA
rnacentral:rRNA from 1 species